UUACUAAACCAAAAAAAGAAACUGGAAAUUCAUUAAUAUGUUAAUUUUUUUUGUCUUGGCUCAUUGAUUGUGUCUGUGUGACUGUAUGUCUCUGGCUCUGUAUCUGUCGUCUGCCUCUGUGUGUGUCUGCCUGAAGUUGUUGCUUUUGCCGUUGGCUAAGCAGAUUUUGGGAUUUCAGGCAAUGUGAUUUUGUGAAUUGAACAUUCCCUAAGCCCCAGACAGAAAACAACAGAGGUGCUGGCCAUUUCCAGGUUUUAGUUCUCGGGUUUCGAUCACGCUCCGUCGAGGCGAUCAAAAGGCGCGCGCGCAGCUGAUUCCAACACAAAAUUUCUCGUACAGUGAAAGCUCGCUGAGGUGCACACACUCCGCUCACAGGAAGAUGCACGUCGAUUCUGCAGUCGUUUUGAAAUCUAUUCGCUCGAAAAAGCUUUCCCUGUAAGUCGUAUUUUCUUGGUGGUCUAACUUUUUCUUGUUUUUCGAAAUAUUUUCACAUUUGUUUCACUCUUUUUUUGUUUCAAACUUUACACAAAACACACAUACAAUUAAACACAUAUACCACCAAAGCGUUGAUAGGAAAGAAGAAGCAGUGCACCCAAUUUUGUGCUUCGGUGUUUCAGGUGCUGAUGUUGUUGUUGGUGUUGCUGUUUCCUCUGUUGCUUUUUGGGUCUUUGGUCUCACUGUUUGAUAUUCCAAUUCGAUUGGUUAGCGUUUGGGCGCCGCCAUUUACGCUGCUCGAGCGUGUUCUUUGCAUUUUCAAAAAACCGAAACAGCACUCGCACGCAUACAAAGACACACACUCGCUCUCACAGAAAAAAUAAUAAUAAUAAUAAUAAAUAAGAAUGAGAAACAGCGAGAAAGAAACAGCGAUUCGAGGGAACCAACCGAACGAGCGUACGUCGCGACGCGUCCGUCCCGAGCCGCUACAGAAACAAAAAUUAAUUACAUAUAUUGAAAUCACAAACUAAACUAAUCAGCCAGACCAGGCCGUAGCAGAGCAGAGCAGUGGCAGCGACAGAGAGGAGAGCAGAGAGCAGAGAGCGAGCGAAUCAGCUGCAUGAAAGCUAAAUACUAGUACAAGAAAAAGCUUGCUCAGCGCUUUCUCAAAGCGGGCGUGCGAAAGAGAGAGACAGAAAAAGGGAGAGAGAGAGAUGUCUGUCUGCGUUGUCAAGAAGACCUUGACUAAGGUUUCCGGCCGGGAAACCGUUACAUCGCUCAGAUUGAGUAUUACACUAUACAGCGGCAGCAUACAGAAGCAUUCCGAGAGAGAGCUUAUUUCGGUGUAAGCUUUUUGAGCAGCAGAGAGCAGAGUGACGCGACAGUUUGUCGCUUUUUAGUCUAUGAACUUGACGCUUGAUUUUUACACCAUGUACGCCUCCCCGCCACCCCAACCUAAUCCAUCACCACAAUCACCACACAACACAAACAACCGAAUUUAUAAACACAAACACACAAAAGCUUGCCGAGGAAAAGAGCAGCAGCAACAGCAACAGCAACUGCAAUAGGAAAAGCAUAAUUGCCGAACGCCAGAUUUUAAUAAGCUGCUGGUGUUGCUGCUCCUGCGUAUGAUGUUACUGUUGUUCGCGCUGCACUGGAAGAAACUAUGGAACAACAAGCUAUGCUGGAGGCGCCACCUCGCCAUCCGCUGCAGCAAGGCCUAAGCAAAGCGAAGACGCGUCGUUGGACUUGGACUGAUGCCGACUGACUGAGAUCCAAGUCCAAGGUAGUCCUUAAAGCUGGGCCAGGACGUGCUCAGAGAGCUUUCGAUUUGACAAAAGCUUUUCGGCAUCCCCUAUGCUCCGCUCCGAUCCAAAGGAGUUGGAGCAGUAGGUAAGAGCACAGCAGAGCAGACAGGGCGCAUACGCAACAUUCGAAAUGCGUGAAAACAGUCUCACCAUCUCGCUUGCACCCCUAGAGCUUGGAAAUAGAAAGGAGUGCGCGUCUUGCGCUCCUCUCUACACUUCUUGGUUUACACGUUUACUUUUAUAAUCUUUCGAUAAGACAAUCAAAAUAAUAAAAAGUGCGAGAGCGCUGUAAUGAAGACUUC